UGGGGGAUAUUGCACAAUGGGCGAAAGCCUGAUGCAGCGACGCCGCGUGGGGGAUGAAGGCCUUCGGGUUGUAAACUUCUUUUGCUCUGAACAAGGCGCACCAUGGGGUGUGUUGAGUGUAGGGGUUGAUUAGCGCCGGCUAACUACGUGCCAGCAGCCGCGGUAAUACGUAGGGCGCGAGCGUUGUCCGGAAUUAUUGGGCGUAAAGGGCUUGUAGGUGGCUGGUUGCGUCUGUCGUGAAAGCUCAUGGCUUAACUGUGGGUUUGCGGUGGGUACGGGCUGGCUUGAGUGCAGUAGGGGAGGCUGGAAUUCCUGGUGUAGCGGUGGAAUGCGCAGAUAUCAGGAGGAAUACCGGUGGCGAAGGCGGGUCUCUGGGCUGUUACUGACACUGAGGAGCGAUAGCAUGGGGAGCGAACAGG
rnacentral:rRNA from 1 species